GUCUUUAUCUAGUGAUCCCCCUUUUGGAGUAUUUGGCUAGCCUUGAUCCUUGGGUCUGCUUCUGCAGACGCUUUAGUGAGAAUGCCUCUAAAGUAAAGACUUUUAUCCCAUGGACACCAAACUGUUGAGAUGAAUUGAUUUUUGUGGAGGCAAUUUGGAAGAGCUGCAUACGGACUUAUAUUUUCUUUUGCUUCUGUGACUUCCUUGGUAGGAAGAAGAUCCAUCAGUUACCUUCAAUUGAUGGAUCAGCCAGUCUUGACCUUGUACUCUGUGGCACUUGUACAGCUGCUGCAAAAAUGUAUGGGAAAGCUUGCACAGUUUCCUAUGGAAAUGUAAGGCUAGUAUAGGCAAAUGCAUCACAGGAGCUCACUUAAUAGCAGAGAAGAAACAAAGCACAUUCAUCAUAUUGAAUUCCUACCCACAGCUUUUGAAGCCGCACUUCUCUCUGGAAGUAGAAAUGAAUGAGAUUUUGAAGGACUGGGGAAGUUAAAAUACCCUUUUUAAAAUGUGUUGGUGCAGCAUGAUGGGCUUUAUAAUUACUCGAGCCUGCUCUGAGUAGAGGGGGUUUCUCUAUUGCUCUCUGAAGGUAGAUUCUGCUCUUUUUUUUUUUUUUUUUCCCAGAAUACAGAAUUUGUCAUAUUGACUGACUGUGGUAAGAUCUGGCAUGUCUUAUUAAUACUCUUUAGCAAAGCAACCUGCUCUUCGUAUGUAUCAUAAAGCCAGGCAAGACAGUUGGUACAGCUAGAGCAACCUUCAUGCUUUGAAGGGGCAUGAUGGUGUCAAUAUUUUUGAAUAGCCCUCUGCUCUUCCUUCAAUUAAUCUUAUUCUCACUUCACAACAUGCAGACAUAUCAGCUGAUCCCACAGGACAUUGUCUGGUACGAGGAUGAUGCUAUGACAACUUAAUUCAGGAUUUUAGAAGUUCAUACAGCUGGUCAAUUAAAAAAAACGUGUACCACAGAGAUAUGUUGAAAAAUACAACAAAUUUGGUAAUGCUAUACCAUUAGAAUAAAUGGCCAUAUAAACCAG
ensembl:lncRNA